rnacentral:rRNA from 1 species
UACGAAGGGGGCUAGCGUUGGUUCGGAAUCACUUGGGCGUAAAGGGCGCGUAGGCGGCCUGAUAAGUCGGGGGUGAAAGCCUGUGGCUCAACCACAGAAUUGCCUUCGAUACUGUUAGGCUUGAGACCGGAAGAGGUAAGUGGAACUGCGAGUGUAGAGGUGAAAUUCGUAGAUAUUGGGAAGAACACCGAUGGCGAAGGCAGCCAUCUGGACCGACACUGACGCUGAGGCGCGAAAGCGUGGGGAGCAAACAGGG